rnacentral:misc_RNA from 1 species
AAAGUCGUAACAAGGUCUCCGUAGGUGAACCUGCGGAGGGAUCAUUACACAAAUAUGAAAGCAGGCCAAAUAAGCCCUUGUACUGCACUUGCAGUGGGAGGGAUGAUGGCCUGGCUCCAUAUCCACCCAUGUCUUUUUGCGUACUACCUGUUUCCUUGGCGAGCUCGCUCGCCAAUUGGACCCCCAACCAAACCUUUUUUUGCAAUUGUAAUCAGCGUCAGAUAACACAAAUGUAAUAAAUUACAACUUUCAACAACGGAUCUCUUGGUUCUG